AUCCAGACACACCCAUUUCAUGCAACUUAGCCUAUUUUCACCGGAAGAUUCCGCCAAAGCCACCAGGACGGUAACCGUCCUAGAGAACUGACUUGUAACUCAAUUCAACAGAAAAAGAAUGCAUGUUAAGUGCCAGAAUAUAUCUAUGCUAGGAUAUAAAGGAAGAGCAAUAUUUUGCACAUUCUCCAGAAUAGGGAUGAUCCCUAAGGGAGAUAUCAAAGAGUUGGGUAUUCUAAUACUAGGAGGCAGCGUCCGUUCUGCCUAGAGAGCAGAUGUGACUGUUUAGAACUCUUUGUUGAGCGAAUAAACUGGGGAGAAGGGCAAGGUUAAGUCCGACGCAUUUUCAGAUCCGCCACCAUUUACCUUAGGACCUGGAGAAAAGACUGUUUCAGUUAGCUAGCUUGAAGGCCUGCUUGGGAAGCAAGAUAGACAAGGAUUUUUUUUCCCCAUCCUCUAGCCUCACGCCUUAUUUUUCUUUCACAAUUCUGGCCAAAGAAAGCAGUAACUCAUAAUCAGAAGAGAAUUUAUCAUGAAGUUAAUUAAGCUGUGUACCUAAUUUUGUAUCUGUCAUCGUGUAUUCUUAAAAGAAGACUCCGACAUUGUAUAAGUUCUGGAUCUGAACAAAACCUGGAUAAACUCUGGUGCUUUAUUAACUUGAUGAAGAUUAGUGACACUGAGGAAUACUGAGGAACCAGGCUCUAUUCCACCCCAUCCCCUUCAUACACACCUCAUUCCAAAUGCUAUCCUGUCACAGCAGAUGCCACAUCACUUUUGGGGUGGGCUAAGAGAUCAAGUUGGAAUAUGGAGCUCCAGCAGGUACUUGGACCAUGAGUUAACCUUGAGGGUGGAAGACAUUCACAAUGAAACAGUAAAAUAGAAGAACCCCGAGCUCCAGAGAGCCCUAGCAACCCUAGACUGAUUACCUCUAGAUUACUUAGAGGUGAGAGAAAAACAAACUACUUAGUUAUUAUUUUGCCACUGUUAUUUUGCUUUUUUCUGUUAUGUGCAUCCAAACUAACUGGGGUACAACCUACCACCAUUAACCACUGGAUUUCAGACUUUUUUUCUUUUUUU
rnacentral:lncRNA from 1 species